rnacentral:rRNA from 1 species
GGGUGCGAUCAUACCAACGUUAAUGCACUGGAUCCCAUUAGAACUCCACAGUUAAGAGAGCUUGGGAUUUAGUAGUACUGGGAUGGGUGACCUCUUUGGAAGUCCUAGUGUUUCACCCU